GGCUGGUCCAAAGGUAGUGAAUUAACUCAACUGAUUGUUCACAGUUACAGGCCAAAUCCCUUGUUCUGCGCUUUCCCCCUUCUCAAUACUGCACUUGACUUGUUUUUA
rnacentral:Y_RNA from 1 species